rnacentral:lncRNA from 1 species
AAGAACAUAUUAUUUAAGAAUAAUCUAGUAUAUAGUAAGCUAAGAUGACUAUAUUUUAUGUACAUGGUUGAAGGGAAUAUUUUGAAAAAAGCAAUUUUAUGAAAAUGAAUGAUAAUAUAUCUGAUGUGAUGGUAGAUAAAUUCAAAAUACUUAUUUUGUAUGCACUUAGAAAUAUAAAAGUAGCAGAUAUAAGAAAAAUCAUAUUAGAAAAAGCUUUUGGUGAAUAUUACAUGACUAGAGUAAAUUAUAUACCAUAUCUACCUAACUACUCUUACAAAUAUUUACGAUGAUAAGUUACAUAAGAUUUUUAGAAAAAGAUAUAAAAAAUAUGCAGUUACUAGAAAAACAGAUAAAAAUAAAUAUAGAUAAAUACAUG